UACGUAGGGGGCAAGCGUUGUCCGGAUUUAUUGGGCGUAAAGAGCGUGUAGGCGGCCGUACAGGUCAGCUGUGAAAACUCGAGGCUCAACCUCGAGACGUCGGUUGAAACCGUACGGCUAGAGUCCGGAAGAGGAGAGUGGAAUUCCCGGUGUAGCGGUGAAAUGCGCAGAUAUCGGGAGGAACACCUGUGGCGAAAGCGGCUCACUGGACCACAACUGACGCUGAGGCGCGAAGGCUAGGGGAGCGAACGGG
rnacentral:rRNA from 1 species